UCGGGAAUUUUGGGCAAUGGGCGAAAGCCUGACCCAGCAACGCCGCGUGAAGGAUGAAGUAUUUCGGUAUGUAAACUUCGAAAGAAUAGGAAGAAUAAAUGACGGUACUAUUUAUAAGGUCCGGCUAACUUCGUGCCAGCAGCCGCGGUAAUACGAAGGGGGCUAGCGUUGUUCGGAAUUACUGGGCGUAAAGCGCACGUAGGCGGAUGUGCCAGUCAGGGGUGAAAUCCCGAGGCUCAACCUCGGAACUGCCUCCGAUACAGCACGUCUCGAGUCCGGAAGAGGUGAGUGGAAUUCCUAGUGUAGAGGUGAAAUUCGUAGAUAUUAGGAAGAACACCAGUGGCGAAGGCGGCUCACUGGUCCGGUACUGACGCUGAGGUGCGAAAGCGUGGGGAGCAAACAGGAUUAGAUACCCACGUAGUCCCUGAGCGGGCUGGCAAGGCGCAU
rnacentral:rRNA from 1 species